GUGGGGAAUAUUGGACAAUGGGGGCAACCCUGAUCCAGCAAUGCCGCGUGUGUGAAGAAGGUCUUCGGAUCGUAAAGCACUUUCGACGGGGACGAUGAUGACGGUACCCGUAGAAGAAGCCCCGGCUAACUUCGUGCCAGCAGCCGCGGUAAUACGAAGGGGGCUAGCGUUGCUCGGAAUUACUGGGCGUAAAGGGCGCGUAGGCGGCUCUGUUAGUCAGGCGUGAAAUUCCUGGGCUUAACCUGGGGACUGCGCUUGAUACUGCGGAGCUUGAGGCCGAGAGAGGGUGGUGGAAUUCCCAGUGUAGAGGUGAAAUUCGUAGAUAUUGGGAAGAACACCGGUGGCGAAGGCGACCACCUGGCUCGGUACUGACGCUGAGGCGCGACAGCGUGGGGAGCAAACAGGAUUAGAUACCCUAGUAGUCC
rnacentral:rRNA from 1 species